rnacentral:rRNA from 1 species
ACUCCUGCGGGAGGCAGCAGUGGGGAAUAUUGGACAAUGGGCGCAAGCCUGAUCCAGCCAUGCCGCGUGAGUGAUGAAGGCCCUAGGGUUGUAAAGCUCUUUCACCGGUGAAGAUAAUGACGGUAACCGGAGAAGAAGCCCCGGCUAACUUCGUGCCAGCAGCCGCGGUAAUACGAAGGGGGCUAGCGUUGUUCGGAUUUACUGGGCGUAAAGCGCACGUAGGCGGACUAUUAAGUCAGGGGUGAAAUCCCGGGGCUCAACCCCGGAACUGCCUUUGAUACUGGUAGUCUUGAGUUCGAGAGAGGUGAGUGGAAUUCCGAGUGUAGAGGUGAAAUUCGUAGAUAUUCGGAGGAACACCAGUGGCGAAGGCGGCUCACUGGCUCGAUACUGACGCUGAGGUGCGAAAGCGUGGGGAGCAAACAGGAUUAGAUACCCUUGUAGUCC